rnacentral:rRNA from 1 species
CCUACGGGAGGCAGCAGUGAGGAAUAUUGGUCAAUGGACGAGAGUCUGAACCAGCCAAGUAGCGUGAAGGAUGACUGCCCUAUGGGUUGUAAACUUCGUUUAUAUGGGAAUAAAAUGUUCCACGUGUGGGAUUUUGUAUGUACCAUAUGAAUAAGGAUCGGCUAACUCCGUGCCAGCAGCCGCGGUAAUACGGAGGAUCCGAGCGUUAUCCGGAUUUAUUGGGUUUAAAGGGAGCGUAGGUGGAUUGUUAAGUCAGUUGUGAAAGUUUGCGGCUCAACCGUAAAAUUGCAGUUGAAACUGGCAGUCUUGAGUACAGUAGAGGUGGGCGGAAUUCGUGGUGUAGCGGUGAAAUGCUUAGAUAUCACGAAGAACUCCGAUUGCGAAGGCAGUUCACUGGACUGCAACUGACACUGAGGCUCGAAAGUGUGGGUAUCAAACAGGAUUAGAUACCCGAGUAGUC